GGCCUUAUAGUUUAAAGGUAGGGCACUCCUCAGCUAAGGAGAAGAUCUAGGUUCAAGUCCUGGUAAGGUCG